rnacentral:rRNA from 1 species
UACAGAGGUCCCAAGCGUUGUUCGGAUUCACUGGGCGUAAAGGGUGCGUAGGUGGUGAGGUAAGUCGGAUGUGAAAUCUCCAAGCUCAACUUGGAAACUGCAUUGGAAACUACCUUGCUAGAGGAUUUGAGGGGGGGAUUGGAAUACUUGGUGUAGCAGUGAAAUGCGUAGAUAUCAAGUGGAACACCAGUGGCGAAGGCGAAUCCCUGGAAAAUACCUGACACUGAGGCACGAAAGCUAGGGGAGCAAACAGG